AGCAAUCUGGAACGCUCGAAGUUCUAGAACAUUGAUGUGCAGGGAGGUCUUGGAGGGAGACCAUAG